rnacentral:rRNA from 1 species
GAUGAACGCUGGCGGCGUGCCUAAUACAUGCCAGUCGAGCGAACAGAUGAGGAGCUUGCUCCUCUGACGUUGGCGGCGGACGGGUGAGUAACACGUGGAUAACCUACCUAUAAGACUGGGAUAACUUCGGGAAACCGGAGCUAAUACCGGAUAAUAUAUUGAACCGCAUGGUUCAAUAGUGAAAGACGGUUUUGCUGUCACUUAUAGAUGGAUCCGCGCCGCAUUAGCUAGUUGGUAAGGUAACGGCUUACCAAGGCGACGAUGCGUAGCCGACCUGAGAGGGUGAUCGGCCACACUGGAACUGAGACACGGUCCAGACUCCUACGGGAGGCAGCAGUAGGGAAUCUUCCGCAAUGGGCGAAAGCCUGACGGAGCAACGCCGCGUGAGUGAUGAAGGUCUUCGGAUCGUAAAACUCUGUUAUUAGGGAAGAACAAAUGUGUAAGUAACUAUGCACGUCUUGACGGUACCUAAUCAGAAAGCCACGGCUAACUACGUG